AGCAGCCGCGGUAAUUCCAGCUCCAAUAGCGUAUAUUAAAGUUGUUGCAGUUAAAAAGCUCGUAGUUGAACUUCGGGGUUUACCCAUUGGUCAGGCUUAAUUGUCUGUACUGGUGAGAUAAAUCUCUACCUUCUGAGGAACUUUCAUGCCAUUUAUUUGGUGUGAUGGGAAAUCAGGACUGUUACUUUGAAAAAUUAGAGUGUUUAAAGCAGGCUAACGUCUGAAUACAUUAGCAUGGAAUAAUGAAAUAGGACGGACUGAUUCUAUUUCGUUGGUUUCUAGGAUCACCGUAAUGAUUAAUAGGGAUAGUUGGGGGCAUCAGUAUUCAAUUGUCAGAGGUGAAAUUCUUGGAUUUAUUGAAGACUAACUACUGCGAAAGCAUUUGCCAAGGAUGUUUUCAUUAAUCAAGAGCGAAAGUUAGGGGAUCGAAGACGAUCAGAUACCGUCGUAGUCUUAACCAUAAACUAUGCCGACUAGGGAUCGGACG
rnacentral:rRNA from 1 species